CUACAUCAAGUUGAAACGCCGGAUUCCGUACGAUCGCAGAAGUUAAGCAAUGUCGUGUCUGGUUAUUACCUAGAUGAGUGACCGUUUGGGAAUAUCAGGUGUUAU